AUCGAACGCUGGCGGCAGGCUUAACACAUGCAAGUCGAGCGAGCGGCGGACGGGUGAGUAAUGUCUGGGAAACUGCCUGAUGGAGGGGGAUAACUACUGGAAACGGUAGCUAAUACCGCAUACCAUCAGAUGUGCCCAAGUGGGAUUAGCUAGUAGGUGGGGUAAUGGCUCACCUAGGCGACGAGCCCUAGCUGGUCUGAGAGGAUGACCAGCCACACUGGAACUGAGACACGGCCCAGACUCCUACGGGAGGCAGCAGUGGGGAAUAUUCCACAAUGGGCGCAAUCCUGACCCAGCCAUGCCGCGUGUGUGAAGAAGGCCUUCGGGUUGUAAAGCACUUUCAGCAGGGAGGCGUUAAUCGCAGAAGAAGCACCGGCUAACUCCGUGCCAGCAGCCGCGGUAAUUC
rnacentral:rRNA from 1 species